GCACGGAGAUAGGUGGCGCGUUGUUGCGCGGCUCGUUCGAGGCGGCGACUUCCCGAAGAAUCACGGGGCACCCGAGUAAUUAUUAUCUGACGGCACGCAGCGCGGAACGGGAAAAAAAUAAUUGUAGGUUCUUUUAGAAAAGCUUGGGGCAUUUAAGUGGAAUUCCAUCGUUGACUUUGGAUACGAGUCCAAAAAUUACAAUGCUAUACGAAUAUACCAGAGUGAUUAUCCUAUUUUAUUAUCGUAUUGCGUCGUGGAAUAUUCGAGUCUCUUUCCCAAUAAUACGAGGCGUCCUAUACGUUGUCGACGAAUCCGAAGAGAAAUAUUUACAUUCCAUCGAUCGACUAAGAUCACCACCGCACCAUCCGCCAAGAACACGAGAGAUCGGUCGAGACGCUACGUCGUAGAAACUACGUAUCGAGCGGGAAUAUCGUUGAUGAAUCGAACUCUGACGAAACACGCCCGUUAUUUUCAUAGUCCGAGAUUUCAUUGUUCAGAUUUUCUGCCGGAUUACCGGCGGCUCGAACCAGCCCGGCUUUUGCCGACAGAUUGUUAAUUGAUCGGAAACACGCACGGUUGCGCGCCACCCGCUGCUCCGCCCCGCUUCCCGAUAAAUAUUCUCUCCUCCUGCGCACACCACCUUCUCUUUCUCCUCCGUGUACACACAUCCGUAUAUUCGGUUGAAAACAAUUAGGGAGGAUAUCUCGGGCCGGAGUCGACGGGAAUUAAAAUGCGGAUGGAAGGAAGUUUUUCCUCGGUUUUUCAUCGACACCGAGGGGCUUGUUGCUUCGACAAUCGGGUGGUACAACGGGGAGGGUUUCUUCGGGGAGGGAAAAAGUGACGCUGACAGAUAAAAAGUGGAGAACAGGAAAGUGGAAAUGAUGCGCUUAAAGGCUCUUCGUGGCUCGGCUUUUGGCAGAUUCAUCGUAUCGAGAUCGUUUCGUUUCUGUCGAGAUCUCGAAUUUUCUUCCCCCAGAGUCGAGAUAUAUAUAUAUAUAUUGGUUACAUCGAGCGUGUCGUUGAUGUUAUCGAUAAUUUCGAGCUGGCUGAUUCGAAUUGUUCUAUUGUAGGGAAGUAGUUGUACAGGGAAGUUUGUUUUUCGUUAUUGUUUUGUUUUCGAAUCGACAUCAUUUUAUCAUGGUCGUGUAAUUGAGCGACUCACACGUGUUUAAACUAUUCUUGCUCGAUUUCGAUUACGAGAGAUAUAUACUUGGGUGUGGAAUUAAGUAAAGCGAUUGAUUAUUAUGCAGAUAACUUAUGUGACAAUUGUUAUUUAACGAUAGAGAAAAAAAGGGAGAAUUUAAAUUAAAUAAAAGCUGUAUAAAAAACUGUAUCGUUUGUUAAUUAUUUAACAAAUAAAUGUCGGGGACGGAUGAUUAUUUACAAGAAUAAUGUAUCGUUGCAAAAAAUUUUAAUUUAAUUGCAAACAUAAUUAUUGGAUGAGGAUAAUUAAAAGCACGGAAUGUCACGUACGGGAAGCUAAAAUUUACGGAGGGGAGUAAAAUUUUUACAAAGAUAUUUCCCUCGAAUAAUAUAUGAUACGGUAAUAACGAACAUUCCGCGCGAAUUGAAUAUUUCUUUCAAACAUCACGGCCAAUGUACACCACGAAAAGAAAAAAAAGAAGAAAUAUCACAAACACGUGAAAUUAAACGAGUAUCCCUCUAGUCUUACGCUUCUUGCUCUGGACACGAUAAAGCAUUUUUCAACUUCAUAAUUACGGGAUAUUCCUUUUUUCUCUCGUUACCUCAUAAAACAAGCUGUCAAACCUCAGCCGAAAACACAAUAUCCAGUCACUCAUCCAUCCAGUGGUAAUGAAUGAAUUUAUGGUUACGGCUACCGAUAUUUUUCCAAACAGAGUAAUAUUCACCCGAUCUAUCGAAUUGUCGGAUUAUAAGAAUGAUUCGAUAAUUUCGAAUAAUUAAAAGAAAAGAAAAGUAUAAUCGAAAUAUUUGAUAACAAUAUUUGCUAUAAACGGAUACUUUUAAUCGAGCGCCACCUGCAGUCUUAUUAUCGCUUGAUAUCGCUAUUAAUUUCGUUACUUAAAUAUUUUUGCUUUCCAUCCCGAAGCACAUGUUGUUUAACCUUUCCCUUCUAUUCUAUAAUCAGUAUCAUCCCGUCACACACGCGUCAUCCAAAAUUAUCUAAACUGUGACCUAUCUUGCCAUCCCCACUUUUAACAUUUCAAACCCCUGACACAACUCCUGACAUUUUCCCCCAAUGACACCAAUAAUUGUGGC